rnacentral:rRNA from 1 species
UACGUAGGGACCGAGCGUUGUCCGGAUUCAUUGGGCGUAAAGAGCUCGUAGGCGGCUGCUCAAGUCGAAUGUGAAACCUCGAGGCUUAACCUCGAGCCUGCAUUCGAUACUGGGCGGCUAGAGUCUGGUAGGGGGAUCGUGGAAUUCCUGGUGUAGCGGUGGAAUGCGCAGAUAUCAGGAGGAACACCUGCGGCGAAGGCGGGUUGCUGGGUCGACACUGACGCUGAGGCGCGAAAGCUAGGGGAGCGAACGGG